UCGCGGUGGUAGGGGCUGAUGCUGCCUUCACCUGUGUCGUGGGCGAAAUUGCCGAGCUUGGCCCCCUGGUUCAACGCCCGGAUGGCGUU
rnacentral:tRNA from 1 species